rnacentral:rRNA from 1 species
GAUGAACGCUGGCGGCGUGCCUAAUACAUGCAAGUCGAGCGAACGGACGAGAAGCUUGCUUCUCUGAUGUUAGCGGCGGACGGGUGAGUAACACGUGGAUAACCUACCUAUAAGACUGGGAUAACUUCGGGAAACCGGAGCUAAUACCGGAUAAUAUUUUGAACCGCAUGGUUCAAAAGUGAAAGACGGUCUUGCUGUCACUUAUAGAUGGAUCCGCGCUGCAUUAGCUAGUUGGUAAGGUAACGGCUUACCAAGGCAACGAUGCAUAGCCGACCUGAGAGAGUGAUCGGCCACACUGGAACUGAGACACGGUCCAGACUCCUACGGGAGGCAGCAGUAGGGAAUCUUCCGCAAUGGGCGAAAGCCUGACGCAGCAACGCCGCGUGAGUGAUGAAGGUCUUCGGAUCGUAAAGCUCUGUUAUUAGGGAAGAACAUAUGUGUAAGUAACUGUGGACAUCUUGACGGUACCUAAUCAGAAAGCCACGGCUAACUACGUG